rnacentral:rRNA from 1 species
GGCCUACCAUGGUGGUAACGGGUAACGGGGUGUUAGGGCACGACACCGGAGAGGGAGCCUGAGAAACGGCUACCACAUCCAAGGAUGGCAGCAGGCGCGCAAAUUACCCAAUCCCGACACGGGGAGGUAGUGACAAUAAAUAGCAAUACGGGGUUCUUAUGGAUCUCGUAAUUGGAAUGAGUACAAUUUAAAUCUCUUAACGAGGAACAAUUGGAGGGCAAGUCUGGUGCCAGCAGCCGCGGUAAUUCCAGCUCCAAUAGCGUAUAUUAAAGUUGUUGCAGUUAAAAAGCUCGUAGUUGAAUUUCGGGGUCAGUAGGUUGGUCAUGCCACUGGUAUGUACUGGUCUCACUGAUUCCUCCUUCCUGAUGAACUGUAAUGCCAUUAAUUUGGUGUUGCAGGGAAUCUGGACUGUUACUUUGAAAAAAUUAGAGUGUUUAAAGCAGGCUAACGCCUGAAUACAUUAGCAUGGAAUAAUGAAAUAGGACGUUCGAUCCUAUUUUGUUGGUUUCUAGGAUUGACGUAAUGAUUAAUAGGGAUAGUUGGGGGCAUUAGUAUUCAAUUGUCAGAGGUGAAAUUCUUGGAUUUAUUGAAGACUAACUACUGCGAAAGCAUUUGCCAAGGAUGUUUUCAUUAAUCAAGAACGAAAGUUAGGGGAUCGAAGACGAUCAGAUACCGUCGUAGUCUUAACCAUAAACUAUGCCGACUAGGGAUCGGAUGAUGUUAAUUUUUUAAUGACUCAUUCGGCGCCUUACG